GCCGGGUGUGGUGGCUCACACCUGUAAUCCCAGCACUUUUGGAGGCUGAGGCGGGUGGAUCACCUGAAGUCAGGAGUUCAAGACCAGCCUGACUAAUAUGGUGAAACCCCAUCUCUA
ensembl:misc_RNA Metazoa_SRP Metazoan signal recognition particle RNA